rnacentral:rRNA from 1 species
GAUGAACGCUGGCGGCGUGCCUAAUACAUGCAAGUCGAGCGAACAGACGAGGAGCUUGCUCCUCUGACGUUAGCGGCGGACGGGUGAGUAACACGUGGAUAACCUACCUAUAAGACUGGGAUAACUUCGGGAAACCGGAGCUAAUACCGGAUAAUAUAUUGAACCGCAUGGUUCAAUAGUGAAAGACGGUUUUGCUGUCACUUAUAGAUGGAUCCGCGCCGCAUUAGCUAGUUGGUAAGGUAACGGCUUACCAAGGCAACGAUGCGUAGCCGACCUGAGAGGGUGAUCGGCCACACUGGAACUGAGACACGGUCCAGACUCCUACGGGAGGCAGCAGUAGGGAAUCUUCCGCAAGGGGCGAAAGCCUGACGGAGCAACGCCGCGUGAGUGAUGAAGGUCUUCGGAUCGUAAAACUCUGUUAUUAGGGAAGAACAAAUGUGUAAGUAACUAUGCACGUCUUGACGGUACCUAAUCAGAAAGCCACGGCUAACUACG